CAGCAGCCGCGGUAAUACGUAGGUGGCAAGCGUUGUCCGGAAUUAUUGGGCGUAAAGGGCUCGCAGGCGGUUUCUUAAGUCUGAUGUGAAAGCCCCCGGCUCAACCGGGGAGGGUCAUUGGAAACUGGGAAACUUGCGUGCAGAAGAGGAGAGUGGAAUUCCACGUGUAGCGGUGAAAUGCGUAGAGAUGUGGAGGAACACCAGUGGCGAAGGCGACUCUCUGGUCUGUAACUGACGCUGAGGAGCGAAAGCGCGGGGAGCGAACAGGAUUAGAUACCCCUGUAGUCCCUGUCUCUUAUAA
rnacentral:rRNA from 1 species